rnacentral:rRNA from 1 species
UACGAAGGGGGCUAGCGUUGUUCGGAAUUACUGGGCGUAAAGCGCACGUAGGCGGACAUUUAAGUCAGGGGUGAAAUCCCAGAGCUCAACUCUGGAACUGCCUUUGAUACUGGGUGUCUGGAGUAUGGAAGAGGUGAGUGGAAUUCCGAGUGUAGAGGUGAAAUUCGUAGAUAUUCGCAAGAACACCAGUGGCGAAGGCGGCUCACUGGCCCGAUACUGACGCUGAGGUGCGAAAGCGUGGGGAGCAAACAGG